rnacentral:misc_RNA from 1 species
GAUGAAGAACGCAGCGAAAUGCGAUAAGUAGUGUGAAUUGCAGAAUUUAGUGAAUCAUCGAAUCUUUGAACGCACAUUGCGCCCUAUAGUAUUCUGUAGGGCAUGCCUGUUCGAGCGUUAUUGAGACCUCAAGCUCUGCUUGGAAAUGGGCGCUUGUCUUGCCUUGCAGACUCGCCUUUAAACCAUUGGCAGCUGAUUUACAAUGUUUGGUGCACAGUACAUGAGCCCAAGUGUUGCAAUGAGUGGCCCAAAAGUAUACAAUAGAAGCUUAACCUCGGAUCAGGUAGGGAUACCCGCUGAACUUAAGCAUAUCAAUAAGCGGAGGA